rnacentral:misc_RNA from 1 species
UCUCCGUUGGUGAACCAGCGGAGGGAUCAUUACAGAGCUUUCACAACUCCCAACCCUUGCGAACCGUACCCAUUCUGUUCUCGUUGCUUCCGGCGGGGGGGACGGGGGGGCCCGAAACGGCCUCCCCGCCCCGCUCGCCGGGGGGGGCGGGCCAUACGAACCUUUAUAUAUCAACCACCAGAAAACAUCUGAAAAGAAAAAAAAAAUAAUCAAAACUUUCAACAACGGAUCUAUUGGCCCUUGCAUCUAUGAAGGACGAAGCAGACCGGAAAACCAAAC